rnacentral:rRNA from 1 species
AUGAAUUGCCUUAGUUGGAACUGCCGGGGAGGGAACACCCGGCUAGUUCGUGAGCUACCGAUGAUGUGUCAGUCGUGUUCCCUCACGUUCGUAUUUUUAUGUGAGACUAGACAAAAGGAAGUUAAGAUGAAAAGAUUGAGAAAUCGGUUGGGUUUGAAGGGGUUUUGUGGAGUCGAUAGUAACGACAUGAGUGGUGGUCUUGCGUUAUAU